CACGUAGGGUGCGAGCGUUGUCCGGAAUUAUUGGGCGUAAAGAGCUCGUAGGCGGUGUGUCGCGUCGGCCGUGAAAACCUGCAGCUUAACUGUGGGCUUGCGGUCGAUACGGGCAUCACUGGAGUUCGGCAGGGGAGACUGGAAUUCCUGGUGUAGCGGUGAAAGUGCGCAGAUAUCAGGAGGAACACCAGUGGCGAAGGCGGCUUCCUGGCCUGUUCUUGACGCUGGAGGCGACGAAAGCUAGGGGAGCAAACGGG
rnacentral:rRNA from 1 species